rnacentral:rRNA from 1 species
CUUGGUCAUUUAGAGGAAGUAAAAGUCGUAACAAGGUUUCCGUAGGUGAACCUGCGGAAGGAUCAUUAUUGAAAUAAACCUGAUGAGUUGUUGCUGGUUCUCUAAAGAGCAUUGUGCACGCUUGUCAUCUUUAUGUCUCCACCUGUGCACAUUUUGUAGACCUGAAUCACUCUCUGAAAUGCUAACCAGUGUUUUAGGUUGGAGGAAUCUGACUUUGUUGUCUUUCCUUGCAUUUCUAGGUCUAUGUCCUUUUUCAUAUAAUCUUAUUGUGAUAUAAUGGGCCAUAUAUAAUAUAAACCUAUACAACUUUCAGCAACGGAUCUCUUGGCUCUCGCAUCGAUGAAGAACGCAGCGAAAUGCGAUAAGUAAUGUGAAUUACAGAAUUCAGUGAAUCAUCGAAUCUUUGAACGCACAUUGCGCCCCCUGGUAUUCCGGGGGGCAUGCCUGUUCGAGCGUCAUUUAUACCAAUCUAGCCUGGCUAGGUGUUGGGCUUCGCCGCUUGGCGGGCCUUAAAACUAGUGGCGGUGCUCUUAGGCUCUACGCGUAGUAAUUUUCUCGCUAUAGAGUCCUGGGAGAUGCUUGCCAGCAACCCCAAAUUUUUCUAGGUUGACCUCGGAUCAGGUAGGGAUACCCGCUGAACUUAAGCAUAUCAAUAAGCGGAGGA